UAGUUGCCCCUGUGUCUGUGGAAGCGCCAGAAGAAGCAAGCGAAGAAGAAGAAGGUGACAGCAGCAGUGAAGAACAAGAAGAAGGAGAAGGAGAUGAUGAAGAUGAAGAAGAAGAGGCAGAGGAGGAGGAAGAGGAAGAGGAAGAGGAAGAAGAAGAAGAAAUAGAGCAAGAAAAAGAGAGUGAAACAUCUGCUGAUAAUAGUGAUGCAGUUGCAUAAUCAUCAUCAUAAAGUACUGGUUGUGAUACAUUAAUAACUAGCGCUAAUAAACAUGCUGCGACUCAGUAAAACAAACAUAUUAAAAAAUAGAUAGACUUUUAUUGUUCAAUUUAUUAAUAAAGUAUGCAACCACA